UUAGGGAAACCUGAGCUAAUACCGCAUAUGCCCGUUCGGGGUGAAAGUCUUCGGACGCCAGAGGAUCGGCCUGCGGCCAUUAUUUAAUCCUUGUUGGUGGGGUAACGGCCUACCAAGGGUACGAUGGGUAGCUGGUCUGAGAGGAUGAUCAGCCACACUGGGACUGAGACACGGCCCAGACUCCUACGGGAGGCAGCAGGUGGGGAAUAUUGGACAAGUCGGGGGAAACCCUGAUCCAGCUACGCCGCGUGGGUGAUGAAGGCCGUUCGGGUUAGUAAACGCCCUGUCGAGGGGGACGAAGUUCUGACGGUACCCCUCAAGAAAGCACCGGCUAACUCCGUG
rnacentral:rRNA from 1 species